AGGGUUUGAUCCUGGCUCAGAACGAACGCUGGCGGCGUGGAUAAGGCAUGCAAGUCGCGCGAAGACUAACUUCACGGUUGGUACUGAGCGGCGAAAGGGUGAGUAAUGCAUGAAUAACCUACCCUUGACCCGGGGAUAACUGCUAGAAAUGGUAGCUAAUACCGGAUGUGGCAGCUUAAACAUAAGUUUUUGUUGUUAAAGGUGGCUUCGGCUAUUGGUCAAGGAGGGAUUCAUGUCCUAUUAGCUUGUUGGUGAGGUAAUGGCUCACCAAGGCUGUGAUGGGUAGCCGGGCUGAGAGGUUGGCCGGCCACACUGGGACUGAGACACUGCCCAGACUCCUAUGGGAGGCUGCAGUCGAGAAUCUUCCGCAAUGGGCGAAAGCCUGACGGAGCGACGCCGCGUGCAGGAUGAAGGCCCUCGGGUUGUAAACUGCUGUCGUCUGUUAGCAAAGGGAUAGAAGUUAAUACCUUUUAUCUUUGAGAAAAGCAGAAAAGGAAGCCACGGCUAAUUACGUGCCAGCAGCCGCGGUAAUACGUAGGUGGCAAGCGUUGUUCGGAAUCACUGGGCGUAAAGGGCCCGUAGGCUGUUUGGUUAGUCAGAUGUGAAAUCCCCGAGCUCAACUUGGGAACUGCGUCUGAAACUACCAGACUUGAGGAUCGGAGGGGAGUGUGGAAUUCCUGGUGGAGCGGUGAAAUGCGUAGAGAUCAGGAGGAACGCCGGUGGCGAAAGCGACACUCUGGACGAUACCUGACGCUGAGGGGCGAAAGCUAGGGGAGCAAACGGGAUUAGAUACCCCGGUAGUCCUAGCCGUAAACGAUGGGCACUAAGUAGAGGUUGUAUCCGAUGCACUCUCUGCUGUAGCUAAUGUGUUAAGUGCCCCGCCUGGGGAGUACGGCCGCAAGGUUAAAACUCAAAGGAAUUGACGGGGGCUCACACAAGCGGUGGAGCAUGUUGCUUAAUUCGAAACAACGCGAAGAACCUUACCUGGGCUUGACAUACUGGUUUACCAAAUCGAAAGAGGCGGGUCCCUAGGACAAGGAGCAACGUGUUGCAUGGCUGUCGUCAGCUCGUGUCGUGAGAUGUUGGGUUAAGUCCCGUAACGAGCGAAACCCUUGUCCUAGUUACCAGCGGGUAAAGCCGGGGACUCUAAGGAGACUGCUGGUGUCAAACCGGAGGAAGGUGGGGAUGACGUCAAGUCAUCAUGGCCCUUACGUCCAGGGCUGCAAACGUGCUACAAUGGCCGGUACAAAGGGCAGCAAGACCGAGAGGUGGAGCGAAUCCCAAAAAGCCGGCCCCAGUUCGGAUUGGAGGCUGCAAUUUGCCUCCAUGAAGCCGGAAUCGCUAGUAAUCGGAGGUCAGCAAUACUCCGGUGAAUAUGUUCCUGAGCCUUGUACACACCGCCCGUCAAGCCACGAGAGCCGGUACUGCCCGAAGUCGCUGACCCAAAAAAGGGAGGCGCCUACGGUAAGAUCGGUGAUUGGGACUAAGUCGUAACAAGGUA
rnacentral:rRNA from 1 species